rnacentral:rRNA from 1 species
GAUGAACGCUGGCGGUGUGCCUAAUACAUGCAAGUCGAGCGAACAGACGAGGAGCUUGCUCCUCUGACGUUAGCGGCGGACGGGUGCGUAACACGUGGAUAACCUACCUCUACGACUGGGAUAACUUCGGGAAACCGGAGCUAAUACCGGAUAAUAUAUUGAACCGCAUGGUUCAAUAGUGAAAGACGGUUUUGCUGUCACUUAUAGAUGGAUCCGCGCCGCAUUAGCUAGUUGGUAAGGUAACGGCUUACCAAGGCAACGAUGCGUAGCCGACCUGAGAGGGUGAUCGGCCACACUGGAACUGAGACACGGUCCAGACUCCGACGGGAGGCAGCAGUAGGGAAUCUUCCGCGAUGGGCGAAAGCCUGACGGAGCAACGCCGCGUGAGUGAUGAAGGUCUUCGGAUCGGAAAACGCUGUUAUUAGGGAAGAACAAAAGUGUAAGUAACCAUGCACGUCUUGACGGUACCGAGACAGAAAGCCACGGCUAACUCCGUG